UGGCACAGCUGCCCAGAGAAGCUGUGGUGUCCCAUCCCUGGAGGCGCUCAGGGCCAGGUUGGAUGGGGCCCUGGGCAGCCUGAGCUGGUGGGGGCAGCCCUGCCCACAGCACGGGUUGGGACUAGAUGAUCUUUAAGGCCUCCUCGAGCCCAAACCAUCUUUGGUUCUGUAAUAGCCAUAGGGUUCUGAAGCACUUACUUAAUAACGCUGCAGAGCCUAAACCAUUCCCACAGUGGUUGGAGAUGCUCAGGUGGGAGCAUGUGAACCUGCACUGUCUUUUCAGUGACCUCAGGCGCGCCAGUCAGUUCUGUUGCAGGCCAUCUGGAAGAUGGGCUUUACAGGUCGCAGCGAGUAAGGUGACAGAUGGCUGGUUUAUAAUUCGGCCUGACGAAAGGUAGCUUGUGCAGAACAUGAGGCCAGCAGGAGGAUUGCAGGGAGCAGAGCAUGUGGCAUGGGCUGGUGAGCACAGGGAGGUGAGUGAGGUGCUCAGAGCCAGCCUACACACAGGUACACCUUGGUUCCAGAGCCACAAAGAGCAGCUAGAACAUACCAGCAAAUAUGGCCCACAAAGCUUAAUGAUUUAUAAUGCAAGUCUUUUAAUACAUAGAUAUAAUACAGUAUUGCACUUCUUUUAUAUCUGGUUAUUUUGCAUUCGACUAAAGUAAUCAUAAAAUUGGCUCAUCUUACUGCAGCCACUGUUCAUCCCAGAAGCAUACAAUUUCUUCAACUUCCACGCUAUUUCCUUAAACUUGGAAGAUGUUAACUUGACUGUCUUCAACAGAAGUAAUUAAGAUAUAGAGCAUGCUAUAAAGUUGUUUACCAUAAAGGGUAAAAAAAAAAUAAAAUGAAGAACACUCCAUACAUGUAUAAAGCUAAAUAAACCUAAAGGUAGGGCUAAAAAUAUCUAUAUAUUACUCAUAACUGUUUAUUGCAGUAACAUUGUGCUAAGGUCCUUAGGGUGUCCCGAAUAUUCACAGGUCAUCUUGUUUAGAUUUUUCUUUUGGCACAAGCUUUAUUUCCUGGGCCCAGUCAAAUACAAAAUACUUUACAAGGCCAACACUUUAAAAAAAUUUAUAUAGCACAAUAAAAUGUCUGAUCUGUGUGUCUAGGUGAGCAGCUGAAUGUAAACACUUUAUUACUUCUUUUUUUGGUGGACUAUGAAAGUCUAUCAUGUCACUGCAACUCAACAAUUUUAAAAAUGACAGCAUUUAUACAUUUGCUUACAGUAUCAUUAAUCAUGUAUGGCAAAUACAUGAUUUCCUGAAGCAAAAAAACAGUUACACACGUGGAAAAUCGUGAAUUCCUUCUGGUCAUCUCCAGCAUAAUUGGUUUCAUACAUCCAUCAAAUCGGCCAUCCUGCAAAGACCUAGCCAACACAGGCAGCUGUGUUGUGAACAGGGGCCACACCGUGAUCCAUUGUCUCUCUUAGAUGGAUGUUUACAGCAACAGGGCUCUGGGUACAUGACAACCUACUAGCAGUAAGAAAACAACAUUGGAAAAAAAUGAUCUCUCUGAAAACAAGGGACACAAACUCACUUCUCACUUGAAAAUGCAGGCUGUGCUCUUGCUGCUAACUUUCUGGCUGUGCUUCAAACAUUAACUGUUAUCAGUAGCAAUAGCUGAUGUUUAUUCUUCCUAAUUUCACAUUGUUCAUCCACACUGAGCUUUCAAGCUAGCUCACUUUCCACUGAUUUCACUUCUCUCUACAGUAGCAUCAAACAGAAUUUAAAGUUGUCUUCAUAAAAAUUUUACAUGGCUGUAAUUGCUAGUGUUAGUCCUGUUAAUAUUUGCUCUUACUGAUGACUCAAAGAGUUAUGCACCCUCUACUUACAGCCAUCAGGCAGUCCCACCAGUAUAAGAUGAGUCAUGCUAUGUAGCUAAUUUCUAGUUAGGUGUCUUUUGGGUCAUUUCUAUGGAUUUUGGGAACACUUCUUCCAGGAGGAAUGAAGUCUGACUUGAAAGAUGAGGACUGUAUCAGAGAAAGGGGCUAGCUUAAUAUUUUCUGUACAAAUAUAUUGUACAGUGGUUAAUGUA
ensembl:lncRNA